CAGCAGCCGCGGUAAUACCGGCGGCCCGAGUGGCGGUCACUAUUAUUGGGCUUAAAGCGUCCGUAGCCGGGUUGGGAAGUCCUCCGGGAAAUCUGGCCGCUUAACGGUCAGAAUGCCGGAGGAUACUCCCAGCCUAGGGAGCGGGGGAGGCCGAGGGUAUUCCCGGAGUAGGGGUGAAAUCCUAUAAUCCCGGGAGGACCACCUGUGGCGAAGGCGCUCGGCUGGAACGCGUCCGACGGUGAGGGACGAAGGCCAGGGGAGCAAACCGGAUUAGAUACCCGGGUAGUCCUGGCUGUAAACGAUGCGGACGUUGUGUCGGACAAGCUAAGGGCUUGUCCGGUGCCGGAGGGAAACCGUUAAGUCCGCCGCCUGGGGAGUACGGCCGCAAGGCUGAAACUUAAAGGAAUUGGCGGG
rnacentral:rRNA from 1 species